UUUGUCAAAUUUGCCUUUUUAUUGCAACGAGAGAACACAAGUAUUAAUUGCAAGAAACAACAAGAAAAAAAUCUAUUUUGCUGGCAAUGUGCCUCACGAGAAGAUAAUGUGCAGUGAGUCAGCACUUUAAGUGAGACAUUGAGAAACAAAUCCAUUGUAUUGGCCUUAAAACAUUUUUUUUAAACAUUUUUUUCUAAUAUAACUCAAUUUUUUUUUAUUUACAAAAAAAGAAAUUCCUAAAGUUUUUAACGGAACAAAAACAUUGGUUUAUUUAACAUGCACAUAAAAACAUCUGCAGUAAAAGCCUUUCAAAACUUGAACUUAAUCACUGAUUUAUUAAGGAAUCAAUCCAAAUUAUCUUUGAAUAACUCCAAACAAUAAGCUCGGAAGUGAAAGACAUAAGAUAUUUAUAUUUAUUUCCUAGUUGACAAGACGAAAGAGUUAAAAUGUCUUUAUUUCUAAAACGUAUUUGUUUUCCCCCCAUCUUCUGGUAUUGUAAUCCUUCAAACACUAGUAUAUAUGUCAGUGCAAAUACUAGAAGAAACAAGAACAGUGCGCAUAUGUCAUUAUACACUAUCACAGAUAUUUAAUUGAUAAGCAAUUCUGUUUAUGUCAGGGAAGGUAAUUGUUUUUUUUUAAGUUUAAUAAAUAACUCAAAUUCUCACUAAGAUUCCCUGUCUGUGUAGAAGUCACUCAAACAAUAUCUUUAAAGAUCAAAGGAAAUUUUAAAAAUCUUUUUUUUUUUAAAUUGCGCGCAGCGGAUAAUUGGAGGAUUUCAUAGAGAUUCGCCAUUGCUCAGCACCUCAUGCAUGUUUGAAUAUUUAUUGUUUGAGAACAAAACUGAAUUUUAAUAAGCAGGUGCUAUAUAGUCUUUACGUGAUUGUAAUACAAUAUUCAAGGCAAUGAACUGCUAGUUAGUAGAAGUAGAAUAAUAUGAAAUAAACAGAAACAUAAUUCAAAAUGAAUCAUUGUGGCAGCUUUUAUUGUUGUCAUAGUUACUCGUUGAAAGUCAUAAUUCAAUUCACCCAUUAAUAAAAAUCAAUAGAGCUAAAUAAUUGAAAAGACCUAGAAAUUGUCACAGAAGAAUUCAGAAGUUUCACAAUUGUAUUUUCAUGCACAUGACAGCUCAAUAAAACCCAAGCCAUUUCCCCAAUAUAUUUCUUACAAAAAUAGCGGUCUGUAUAAUGCUUGUCAUAAAGUAUCCACAGAUGUCAUUAUAUUUGAAGGACUUUGUUUUAAAAAAUGAACAGGCUACCAUAGAGCAAGGUUGUUUAUUGUUUAAAUAACAGAAAUUCAUUUUGAGUGCAACAAGACUUCGUUUCUUUGUCUUUUAUCUUUCUACUUUCCAACCCCCCCCCCCCCCCCCUUUCGUGUUCGUCUUUUUUCUCCGAGGAAUGAUCAAACAGUUUCUAUCUGAACAUUAAAAUACAUGUACUUUAAACCUCAUCUUUUUAAGUUCAUCCCUUCCCCUCACACUACCCCCCCCCCC